rnacentral:misc_RNA from 1 species
AAAAAAGUCUAUAGUUCGAAUCUCCCUACCCUAUUAUACUAUGAAAAAAAGUCCCCACUCUUCCGCUUGCAAUUUCACAUAGACAGCAGUACCACUUCCAGCCAUUUAAAACUUCCAAAACCAACAAUUCAUUUCCUUUGUCAUCAGACUAUGAACUUCAGGUGAUAAGCAGUAGAUGAUUUCCUUCGUCAAACGAGUCAUGAAUUGAGCUAACCUCAUUAUGCAUAUUCCCAUGUAUAU